GACGAACGCUGGCGGCGUGCCUAAUACAUGCAAGUAGAACGCUGAAGGAGGAGCUUGCUUCUCCGGAUGAGUUGCGAACGGGUGAGUAACGCGUAGGUAACCUGCCUGGUAGCGGGGGAUAACUAUUGGAAACGAUAGCUAAUACCGCAUAAGAGUAGAUGUCGCAUGACAUUUGCUUAAAAGGUGCAACUGCACCACUACCAGAUGGACCUGCGUUGUAUUAGCUAGUUGGUGAGGUAACGGCUCACCAAGGCAACGAUACAUAGCCGACCUGAGAGGGUGAUCGGCCACACUGGGACUGAGACACGGCCCAGACUCCUACGGGAGGCAGCAGUAGGGAAUCUUCGGCAAUGGACGGAAGUCUGACCGAGCAACGCCGCGGGAGUGAAGAAGGUUUUCGGAUCGUAAAGCUCUGUUGUAAGAGAAGAACGAGUGUGAGAGUGGAAAGUUCACACUGUGACGGUAGCUUACCAGAAAGGGACGGCUAACUACGUG
rnacentral:rRNA from 1 species